rnacentral:rRNA from 1 species
UACCAGCACCCCGAGUGGUCGGGACGUUUAUUGGCCUAAAGCAUCCGUAGCCGGUUCUACAAGUCUUCCGUUAAAUCCAGCUGCUUAACAGAUGGGCUGCGGAAGAUACUAUGGAGCUAGGAGGCGGGAGAGGCAAGCGGUACUCGAUGGGUAGGGGUAAAAUCCGUUGAUCCAUUGAAGACCACCAGUGGCGAAGGCGGCUUGCCAGAACGCGCUCGACGGUGAGGGAUGAAAGCUGGGGGAGCAAACCGG